UGGGGAAUAUUGCACAAUGGGCGCAAGCCUGAUGCAGCCAUGCCGCGUGUGUGAUGAAGGCCUUCGGGUUGUAAAGCUCUUUCAGCGGGGAGGAAGGGGAUAGGUUAAUACCUUUGCUCAUUGACGUUACCUGCCAGCAAGCACCGGCUAUUACUCCGUGCCAGCAG
rnacentral:rRNA from 1 species